rnacentral:lncRNA from 1 species
CAAUCUGCAGGUGUCCACGGUGAGUCCUCCCCAGUAGGAGGAGACAGGAGUCUCUCUGGAAGGCGAACGCCACAGCUGCCCAGAUGUUCUCCUGCAGGGGAACCAGACACCAUCAUGACCCAAAAGGGCUGCACUUCUCGGGGUUUGCAGAAUGUGGCAGAGGUGGAAAAACUCGAAAGUCCCUAAACACAGAUUUUUUGGAAUUAAUUCGAAGUACAUUGCAAUCACGAUGGCCUUUUACUUCUAAAUUCUACACUCUGCACCUCUAAAAUAUACAAGCAUGUCCCAGGACCACCCUCAACUACUUCAGGUCCCUCGGAAAAGGGUAAGGUCAGCCAGGCUGGACACCACGCUGUGGGUGGCCUUAGGUCCUGCAAGCAACUGUGGCCACCAGCGUCGCAGCAGCAAGGAGGCUUGUGUCACUUUUACAACCAGCGAAGUCACGUGUAGGUUCCGUGUCCAGGAAGAGAACCCCACCGCCUCCUUCUGGAUGGCAGGUGUCCCUCUCGGCUGAGCAGGUGUCUGGGACCAUGACAUCCAACCUGGGCUCUCCUGGCCCCCAGAGAAGAGCUGCCCAGUGCAUGUGCUGGCUGCACCGUGACGUCCCCUAUGAACGAGGCCCACAGGCAGUGGCUGGCUGGGGGGAUGCCCCUGCCCUGAGCUGGAGUCUCCCCAGGUGGCUGCUUCUUCCCCACCCCGAGGGUCACAGCCCAGCCCAAGCUCCAAGGGAAUGGAGCAGCUGCCUGCACCAAGCUUCCCUCCUCUGGAGAAAGCACCUCCUCUUCUCCCUCACGUGCUCCCUGAUGACCGCCAGGCUCCUUGACAUGGUUCCCAGGACCAGCCUCUCCCAGGGUCCCUACUCCCAGUACCCCAGUCCUCACCAUUUGUGACCCUUCAGCCCCUGCUGAACCCUGCCAGCCCCAGGACAGGCCACAGCUGUCAUGCCACCUCCCAGCCAUGAUGAAUGGGGAACGGGGAACUGUCUGACCUUGGGCUGGGUUCAAAAGCAGGGUCAGCCCAGGCACAGAGCCUGUUUGUUUGAGUGAAUUGAGUGGGAGGCUGCUUUCUCAUCGGGCUGAGGAGGGUUCAGAGGAUUGUGGUCUCUUUGUUUUCAUUCAAGGCUCCAUCAGCCGGGGCCCUGGCAGGAACCAGAGUUCACUCAACCGUUCACAGAAGGGUGCCUUGCAGAGGCGCAGGCAGGAAUGAGCUUUGGUGUGGAUUUAACCUGAACAGGGCAGGCACAGAGUGUAUGCUCUGUGUGAAUUGACCUUCUGUAUUUUCAUCCUUCAGACGUGGAACCAAUAGAAUCUCCUUUAUAAAUGUAUCGAUCAUUUCUGCCCAGAAUCUCUUCCUGUUCUUAAUCACUUGGCCUGAGGCUCCACUCCUGACCCCAUAACUGUACAGGGUUCCCUCAGGCAGCAGGCUCCUUAAAGAAAAAACUUUACUCUUUUUUUUAAUAGAGUAAGUGAGUCACAUCCUUUUCAGAAGUAGCAUCCUAACGUUAGUACAUAAGAUGAAGUCACAAAUAGCAGAAUGACCAAAGGCAACACCUUCGUAAGCCCUUGAAAUACAGUGACGGACACAACACCCCUCCCUGGACCCAUGGGUGUUGCUUCCUGCAGCCAGGGACCAGGUUCCUGUGUCU